rnacentral:rRNA from 1 species
UUAUGUGUUAGUGGAAGCGUCUGGAAAGUCGCACGGUACAGGGUGAUAGUCCCGUACACAAAAAUGCAUAUUCUGUGAACUCGAUGAGUAGGGCGGGACACGUGACAUCCUGUCUGAAUAUGGGGGGACCAUCCUCCAAGGCUAAAUACUCCUGACUGACCGAUAGUGAACCAGUACCGUGAGGGAAAGGCGAAAAGAACCCCGGCGAGGGGAGUGAAAUAGAACCUGAAACCGUGUACGUACAAGCAGUGGGAGCACCUUCGUGGUGUGACUGCGUACCUUUUGUAUAAUGGGUCAGCGACUUAUAUUUUGUAGCAAGGUUAACCGAAUAGGGGAGCCGUAGGGAAACCGAGUCUUAACUGGGCGUCUAGUUGCAAGGUAUAGACCCGAAACCCGGUGAUCUAGCCAUGGGCAGGUUGAAGGUUGGGUAACACUAACUGGAGGACCGAACCGACUAAUGUUGAAAAAUUAGCGGAUGACUUGUGGCUGGGGGUGAAAGGCCAAUCAAACCGGGAGAUAGCUGGUUCUCCCCGAAAGCUAUUUAGGUAGCGCCUCGUGAACUCAUCUUCGGGGGUAGAGCACUGUUUCGGCUAGGGGGUCAUCCCGACUUACCAAACCGAUGCAAACUCCGAAUACCGAAGAAUGUUAUCACGGGAGACACACGGCGGGUGCUAACGUCCGUCGUGAAGAGGGAAACAACCCAGACCGCCAGCUAAGGUCCCAAAGUCAUGGUUAAGUGGGAAACGAUGUGGGAAGGCACAGACAGCCAGGAUGUUGGCUUAGAAGCAGCCAUCAUUUAAAGAAAGCGUAAUAGCUCACUGGUCGAGUCGGCCUGCGCGGAAGAUGUAACGGGGCUAAACCAUGCACCGAAGCUGCGGCAGCGACGCUCAGGCGUUGUUGGGUAGGGGAGCGUUCUGUAAGCCGUUGAAGGUGACCUGUGAGGGUUGCUGG